rnacentral:lncRNA from 1 species
AUUUAGGGUUUAGGGUUUAGAUUUAAAAUUUAGAACUUAGAUUUAAAGAUUUAGAGUUUAGUUAGUGGCGUUAGUAUCAUUAAAAUGAGCGUCACUAUUUUUUUCAAUUAUUUUAGAUUUUUUUUUUAAAAAAUAAUAUAUUUUAUUAUUAAUCUAUGUGGCAUUUUGAUUGGUAAUAAUAGAGAAGGUGAAUUUAAGAGUGAACCUAAGUUUUGUUCUAACAUAAAUCUCAAAAAGUAACUAAAAGAAAGUAAGGUUAACAAAAUCACGUAUUUUACGUAUAGAGCAAGUAAAAUAAACUUAACACUUUUUUUUUGUUUUCGACACUUUCCAAAUAACAAAGAUGCAUGCAUGGUUUAAUAGACCAAAUCAAAGAGAAAGAAACAAAUCACAUGAAAGGAAAAAAUACGUAUAUAUAUAAACUAGUUGAAUCUACGUUUUCUCCAGCGAAUCCGACUGGUGUCUUGCUUCGAAAACCCUGGAAGCCUAACAAAGCUAGGAACGUAGCUGCAUAAAAAAGGAAAACCACAUUCCCCUUCAUCUGCUUUAAUUACUUGGAAUUCCUUGUCGCUGAUGACUCUGAUAAUAGAUAGUCCCUUCAUGCCAGUAUCACUACAAGUUAUAACAAGCCUAUUGUUUUUGUCGAAAUAAUAAUUUGUAGAAAGGAGGGUAGGACGUGGAUAUAUAAGCGGAAAUUCUGGUAUGUCCACGACCACCAAUUUGGUCCAAGAAGUAAGCAUAAGCCAAUGCUUCACCCAUAUGCAUAUCUUCCUUGUUUUGCGACAUUGCUCCAACACCGAAAGCCUAUCUCCUUUAUAAAUCUCUAGUGCAAUAGGAUUCAACUCAUCAUAGCUGAAUGGCAAGUCAUCUAUGGGCUGAAACCUUUCUUUGUAAAAAUCAUAGCUUUGUACAAAAGCUGUAUGAUCUUCUCGAAGACCUAUACAAUAAGGAGUUCCUCUCAGAGAGAGGAUCGACAACGGCACGCUAAGGAACCAAUCAGAACUGAUGUUAUCUAUAACCUUCCAUGUUUUGGAUGCAACUUCACAGACCUCGACCCUUGAAGGUCUAUUUCUGGAAUUAUUAGCACAACGAAACCUUAAGAUCCUGUAAUCACAGUGGCUGAGGUAUCCAAGGCUGUAAGCAUCAUCUCGUUGGUGAAAGUCACUACCGCAUUUGAUCCAGGUUGUUUCCUUCAGUAAUGGGUUCCUAACCACAAGCUGGUUGUCCAUGACACACAAUAACAAACCGUCGCAAUGAACAGUCUUGUACACCCUAACUGGAUUACAUGUUCGAGCUUUUAUAAGGGUAAAGUCUUGGACGAUCAAGGACGGGGGAUCGACCACGUUUUUCUGCUCCUCAAUGCCCACGGCAGAAAUCGUAGGACCAGUGUCUUUGAGUAUAAACCGAUGCUCACCACUAUAGCUGUGCAUGUGAAACGACAAGUUCUUCUUGUUGAGUCUCUCCUCCAAAAUAAGACUAUUCCAAAGCUUACAUACACAUCUCAACGUUGCAAGAUAUUUCCAUGGAACUCUGGCGAGAAUUUCCUCUUCCAAAUCAUAUGGUAGCUUCAGUGCCAUUGUCGUGGAACCUGGUUUGUCAAAAGAGAGGUAAGACGCGAACAAUGUUUUCUAACCGUAAAAUACGUAUGUAUGUACAUAUAGAUGACGAUAAAAAAAAGAAAUUGGAAAACAUAAAUAAUCGGAAACUUGGAUAAAUAAAGUUUCUAUAUUUCAGUGAUAGUUUCCUAUUAUUUAUGGUUACCAUAACAGCCGGCUGCUUCUUUUUUCUUUUUUUUAACUCUUAUUAGUAACACUAGAGAUUUUUUCCGCCCGUAUCUUAUAAAUUUAUUUUAUUUAUAAUAUUAUUUGUCGGUUUUUUUCUUUUACAUUAACUUCUUGUUUUUUCAAUGUUAGUUUUUCUUAAUUUAAAUUUGUAUGUUUAUAAUUUUUCAUUUUUCUUGUUGUAUAUGUAGAAUUAUAUUUUGUAUUGAUGGUUUUUUGUAUGUGACAUAAACUUUUUGAAAUUUUAAAAUAAUGUUAUAUAUAGUACGAUUAACACAUUAAAAAAGAGAAACAUAUUCAAGCACAUUUUACACAGAUUUUAUAUGCAUAAUUUUAAACAUUAUAUAUGUAUAUAUUAUAAGUUUGAAACAUGUAAAUGCUUUCUAAAGCUAAAUACUUGUUCUGAGUUUACAUAACUUAUCAAAAGUUUUAUCUCUUUUUAAAUUCAAAUCACAGAAAAAAUAUAUCAAAAAGUCAGUAUAGAUAGGUUUUUUGGGCUUUUAAAUCAACACUGAAAAAUUACAUGAAUCCGAUAACAACAGUUUUAAAAACAACUGGAUAAAAUUUGACCGAGCCAAAGAUUUUCACACAAUAUGUUAUUUCUUCUUCAAAUUGCGAAGAGCCUAUACGCACAAGAAAAAAAAAUCAUAAUUUUUGUUUUCACUUAUAUAACAUUUCUUCUCCUUUACACACAAAGUUUAUUACACUGCUAUAAGCAAUGGAGAACUCUAUUCAUAUAAGAUUCACAUCUAUGCAUUUUUACAAAGAAGAAUUUUAGCCAUCUUAAGUUUCGGAAUGGACCAACUUCAGUCAUAUACACUAUAUUUCUCUAUGAUUCAAAUCUUACAAUUUUAAUAUAUGUACAGAUUUCUAUGUGAAAAAGCACGCACGCCAUCUAUCAUUCAACCUAUUAUUUUUUCCAAAGUAAACACUAUAAUCCUCGUUUGGUUAGCUCCACAAACUAAUCUCCUUAGAUCAGUUUAUUAAAAAAUAUGGAUACUAAUAUCAGAAAAAAAUAUAAACACUAUCAACAACAAAUAUUGGCACAAGACUAUUCCACGUAAUGCGUUUAUAUCAUGGCUGGCUUUGUAGAGAAGACUGCCAACCAAGAAUCGCUUAAGGCGUUGGGGGUUAAAUGUCUCAGGAACGUGCGUCCUUUGUAAUCUGGAAAUAGAGACUCACCAUCAUCUCUUCUUUGAGUGCUCUUUCUCUCACUUGAUAUGGAAGCCUUUUGCUGCUGAAGUUUGAAUUUCUCCUCCGGCUGAUCUACACUCUAUUGCAGCCUGGAUCAAUCAACCUCGCGUCAACGCAGAUACGCAUGCUACUCCAGUCAGCCAUCUACAUGCUGUGGAAAGAGCGUAAUGCUCGUGUGUUCACAGCUGUCUCCUCACCUUCAUCAGUCAUCCUUGCCUCUCUCGACCGUAUGAUGCGUGACCGUCUCCUCUCUUACCCGGCAAGUUCUUCUUUCUCUUCUUCUCUACUUCUUUUUAUCUUUCUUGUAUAAGACCUCCUUAAUGCUUUUUUUACCUUGUGUUAUUGUUGGUUGUUUUUGUUUCUUUGCUGUAAUAAGUUGUUUAAAAAGAACAGUGUAACCUUUCAGAAAAUAAUAAUCUUAACAUCUUACCAAAAAAAAACAAUAAAUAUUGACUUAUUUAUGUGAAUAUAUAUUUUUAUUUUAAAUCAUUAUAGUGGACGAAGAAAGCACCAUAAUUUAUACAACAAAUUUUCUUAGAUUCACCUCAUCAUACUCACCAUUUUACCAUUUUAAUUACAUAAUUUUACAUGAGCUUCUUCACCUCCCCGGUUAUUUUCUCUUUAUUUAUAACUACAAUAUAAAGUUAUGAACUAUAUAUAUUAUAAAUUAAUAAUUUCUAUACCCUUGAAGUCUAACGAUUAAAAAUAGAACAUAAUUUAAUAUAGAUAUAUGAUUCUAUUAAUAAAUUAGCAGUUACAAAUUUGAAAUUUCUAGAAAUAUCAAAAGUCGUAUGUUAGUUAAUUAUUUUCUAAAUGACAUAUAUUUUUAAUUCUUUUUGGAUGAGAAUAUUUUUGGGCUGCGAGAUUUUUCUUUACCUGGCCCACCGGCAAAUAUUUUUGCAGCCUAUUAUAUAUUUUUCUUUGGUUUUAUAGCGUUCGGACUGGUCCGAGUGGGAUAUUCAGUGAUGUUACGUGAUAUAAAUCAAGGAGCAUGGACUAUAGUUUUUUUCAAGUGACAUGGCAGUUUGAUAGGUGAGGAUUAUUUUGCCCAUGUGGCACCUCUACAAAAGCUAGAAUUUAGCUUCUUUUAUAUAGUAGGAUUCUAUUAGAAAAGACAGAGCUAUAACUCAAAAAACAGAGUUUCAUGAAACAAAAACAGAGCAAAACAGAGAACCACCUAUGCCCAUUUUCGAAAAAAAAAGAAUAAAAAACAGAGAACCAGCAGGUCUCAAAAGAUAAAACCAAGGAGAAGUAAUAGGAAAUCCUAUAUGUCGGCCAAAGAAAGACGCCGGCUGCUUUAGAGAUACUAUAAAGUAUAAUGUAAAUCUCAAAAACUGACAAUGUAUAAUUGGAAUUUGGAAAGACAAAUAAACUAGAAAAAUUGGAUACACCUAAGAGAAAAUUGCCAAAGAAAACAAAAAAAAUCAGGUUGUUGUCCCUUUGGUAUAAAACCAAUUUUAUCCAUUUUUUCUCAUUUUUACUCUUUUUAUUUCUGAAAACUAAUGAAAUAAAUAAUUUUGUGAAUCAAAAAAAUUAUUAAAAAUAAAAACAAUUAAUAAAACAUCUAUAUACACAAGCUGGUAAUUUUUUUUUGUUCAAAAAUUUGGUAAAUAAGAUUUUUAAAAUACGUUCUACUAAAAGUAGAAUGUGUCUUCUACGAAAAAUGGUAUAAUAGAAAACGAUUUAACGAUUUCUAAAAUAAACACGUUCAUCUAUUUUUUUUAGAACGUACAUUUUACUAUUUACUAAAUUUCUAAAAAAGAGAAAUGCGCAUUCUACUAAUCGUAAAGGUAUCCACUUUCCUUCCGAAUGCAUCUUCUACUUUUAUAAAGUAUUCAAAAUUUUGGAAAAUGUAUUUUCUACAAUGUACUCUUAUGUCUACUCAAAGUAGAAAGUGUAUUCAGAAUUUUUAUCAUUCUUCUAAACUUUUAGAAGUCACCUUCUACGGAUAAGAAUACCUGAUUUUUUGCGAAAAUUAAUGAAAUUUCAGUUAAGAAAAUAUUCUAAAGAGAUAUGGCCAGAGUUUAGAUCUUACUAAAUACAUAGCCGUUAAAAAUCACUAAAACAAAAAUUUGGAAUAGAUCUGAACUUGAAACAAAAUCAAUAAUCGAAUGGAUAUCUAAAUUUUUUAUCAUAAACUUUACAUACUUAAAAUAUUAACUAUAUUAAGUUUCAAAAUAAUCAAUAAUUUAAAUAUUAUUUAUAACUAAAAUAUCCAGAAAUCGAAAUACCAUAAUAUUUAAGUUGUUAUAAAAAUAUUUAGUGUUACAUAUAGCUGACAUUAAUUUCUUUUAAGUUACAUUACAAUUGUUUUAAAGGAUAAAAUAAGUAUAUUUUGUAUGUAUUGUGAACGGAGAAUGUAAAAUUAUUGUAUUUAAUUUAAUUUGAUUUUAAAAAAAUGCUAAAAUAAAAAGCUCAACUUAUAAUUUUAAUAUUGGUAUGAAAGUAAAUAUAUAUAAUUGCAUGGUCUAACAAAAAGAGAACAAACAAAAAUAACAGAAAUGAAAUUAGAUAACUUAUACUAAGACAAACAAUUAAUAUAUAUAUAUAUACCGACAAAAUAAAAAUAGAAUAUACCUUCAUUAAUAAUCGCAAUAAUUAUAUUAGAAAAUUUUGUUGACCGUAACAAAACUGUUUUGAGUCUUUCACAACAAACGAGAUAAAAAAAAUUAAUGAUAAAAAUUGCAAAAAAUAAUGUUCCAUGAAUAAUUAAAAUAAAAUCAUUAAAUUAAAAAUAAAUAUUAAAUAGAAAUGUAAUGAGACAAAUUCCAGCGCAAACUUGCUCUAGUAUCUUAAACACAAACUAGUUGAAUCUACGUUUUCUCCAACGAAUCCGACUGGUGUCUUGCUUCCAAAACACUGGAAGCCUAACCAAGCUUGGAACGUAGCUGCAUAAAAAAGGGAAAUAAAUUUCACAUUCAUUAGCUUUAAUUACUUGGAAAUCCUUGUCGUUGAUGACUCUGAUAAUAGAUAGACCCUUCAUGUCAGUAUCAUUACAAGUUAUAACAAGCCUAUUGUUUUUGUCGAAAUAAUAAUUUGUAGAAAGGAGGGUAAGACGUGGAUAUAUAAGCGGAAACUCUGGUAUGUCCACGACCACCAAUUUGGUCCAAGAAGUAAGCAUGAGCCAAUGCUUCACCCAUAUGCAUAUCUUCCUUGUUUUGUGACAUUGCUCCAACACCGAAAGCCUAUCUCCUUUAUAAAUCUCUAGUGCAAUAGGAUUCAACUCAUCAUAGCUGAAUGGCAAGUCAUCUAUGGGCUGAAACCUUUCUUUGUAAAAAUCAUAGCUUUGUACAAAAGCUGUAUGAUCUUCUCGAAGACCUAUACAAUAAGGAGUUCCUCUCAGAGAGAGGAUCGACAACGGCACGCUAAGGAACCAAUCAAAACUGAUGUUAUCUAUAACCUUCCAUGUCUUGGAUGCAACUUCACAGACCUCGACCCUUGAAGGUCUAUUUCUGGAAUUAUUAGCACAACGAAACCUUAAGAUCCUGUAAUCACAGUGGCUGAGGUAUCCAAGGCUGUAAGCAUCAUCUCGUUGGUGAAAGUCACUACCGCAUUUGAUCCAGGUUGUUUCCUUCAGUAACGGGUUCCUAACCACAAGCUGGUUGUCCAUGACACACAACAACAAACCGUCGCAAUGAACAGUCUUGUACACCCUAACUGGAUUACAUGUUCGAGCUUUUAUAAGGGUAAAGUCUUGGACGAUCAAGGACGGAGGAUCGACCACGUUUUUCUGCUCCUCAAUGCCCACGGCAGAAAUCGUAGGACCAGUGUCUUUGAGUAUAAACCGAUGCUCACCACUAUAGCUGUGCAUGUGAAACGACAAGUUCUUCUUGUUGAGUCUCUCCUCCAAAAUAAGACUAUUCCAAAGCUUACAUACACUUCUCAACGUUGCAAGAUAUUUCCAUGGAACUCUGGCGAGAAUUUCCUCUUCCAAAUCAUAUGGUAGCUUCAGUGCCAUUGUCGUGGAACCUGGUUGUCAAAAGAGAGGUAAGAUGCUCACAUGGUUUAUAACCGUAACAUACAUAUGUAUGUACAUAUAGAUGACGAUAAAAAAAAAGAAAUUGGAAAACAUAAAUAAUCGGAAACUUGGAUAAAUAAAGUUUCUAUAUUUCAGUGAUAGUUUCCUAUUAUUUAUGGUUACCAUAACAGCCGGCUGCUUCUUUUUUUUUUUUAACUCUUAUUAGUAACAUUGUAUUAGAAAAGACAGAGCUAUAACUCAAAAAACAGAGUUUCAUGAAACAAAAACAGAGCAAAACAGAGAACCAGCUAUGCCCAUUUUCGAAAAAAAAAGAAUAAAAAACAGAGAACCAAUAGGUCUCAAAAUAUAAAACCAAGGAGAAGUAAUAGGAAAUCCUAUAUGUCGGCCAAAAAAAGAGGCCGGCUGCUUUAGAGAUACUAUAAAGUAUAAUGUAAAUCUCAAAAACUGACAAUGUAUAAUUGGAAUUUGGAAAGACAAAUAAACUAGAAAAAUUGGAUACCCCUUUGAGAAAAUUGCCAAAAGAGAACAAAAAAAUCAGGUUGUUGUCCCUUUGGUAUAAAAUUAAUUUUGUCCAUUUUUUUUCCUUUUUUUUUGAAAGAAUUUUAAAUUUAUUCAAAUAAAAAAAAACCUUUGUACAGAGUUUUAUCUGCUACCAUAUUCAAAUACAUGAAAAGAAAUCCAAAAGAAAAUAUGCUAUCUAUAUCUCUCAAGCUUCACUAGACUCUGUCAAACCAAUCCUCCAUCAUCUUCUCAUAUUUGCCUCCUACCCUCCUUCUCAAUGAAGAUAUUCUGUUUCUAGUAAGCUUAUCAAGCCUUGCGAUCAGACAAGUAGCUGGCUGCGAUGCCUCACCCACUUUUCUCCUUUUUACUCUUUGUAUUUCUGAAAACUAAUGAAAUAAAUAAUUUUGUGAAUCAAAAAAAUUAUUAAAAAUAUAAACAAUCAAUAAAACAUCCAAAUACACAAGCUGGUAAUUUUCUUUUGUUCAAAAACUUGGUAAAUAAGAUUUUUAAAAUACGUUCUACUAAAAGUAGAAUGUGUCUUCUACGAAAAAUGGUAUAGUAGAAAACGAUUUCUAAAAUAAACACGUUCAUCUACUUCUUUUAGAACGCUCAUUUUACUAUUUACUAAAUUUCUAAAAAAGAGAAAUGCACAUUCUACUAAUCGUAAAGGUAUCCCACUUUCCUUCCGAAUGCAUCUUCUACUUUUAUAAAGUAUUCUAAAUUUCGGGAAAUGUGUUUUCUACAAUGUACUCUUAUGUCUACUCAAAGUAGAAAGUGUAUUCAGAAUUUUUAUCAUGCUUCUAAACUUUUAGAAGUCACCUUCUACGGAUAAAAAUACCUGAUUUUUUGCGAAAAGUAAUGAAAUUUCAGUUAAGGAAAUAUUCUAAAAAUCUCCUAGAAAUAUUCUAACUUCCUAAAACGUGUUAUGGUUGAUUUUACUUGAAAAAAUUAAAUAAAAAAACGAUUAUCCCUUCUCUUAUUCAUCAAUCUAUGGUUUUUCCAUAGUUUUUCUUUUGAUUCUUCUCACAAACUCUUGUUCUCUAAGAUGCAUAUCUAUACCUCUUUUUUUUUCGAUUGCCUUUCAACUGUUUUUUUUUCCUUUUCUCCAUUAACUUUUUUUUUUUUAAAAUUCAAAUUAACUUUUAAAUUGUGUUUAAUUAGAUUAAGUAUAGGGUUAGUUUGAUUAUGAGAAAAAUUAUACUAUUGAGAUAACUUUAUGUUGGUAUUAUACCAAGGGGACAACAACCUUAUUUUUUUGUUCUCUUUUAGCAAUUUUCCCCACCUAAUUACUGACAAUUUAUAAAAUUUUAAUUUUUUUUACCCGAGAGUUACUUGCACGUCACAAUAUUUCUUUUUACCAAUUUUAAGUCCCAUUUAUAAUAAAAUCUGAAUAAUUGGUCCUCCAAAUAGAACCCCUUCCCAACUCAUUCCAUCCAAAAUUUGGGCAUCUGUCCAACACACUUAUUUUCUCACAAAUGACGUAUAAUUGUGUUCCAUUGUUUAUGUGGUAGGUAGUUUUGAGUUGGACGUAGGGCUGGCAAUUAAGGUAACAUAUCAAGUUUGGUUUGGAUAUUUCGGAUAUCAGUUUGGAUAUAGGAAAAUGCGUACCAGUCAGAUAAUUUAAAAUUUUUGAUUUGGUUUGAUACUUUUCGGGUUUGGUUCAGUUGUAUCCGAAAAUUACUUGGUUGAGUCCAAAUAUAUAGAAAAUAACUGAUUUAUCUGAAAUGCGCGGAUCAAAGUUGUUUAUUUAUAUUCAAACAUGUAAAAAAUAUCUAAAUAUCCAUAAAUAAUUGGAAAUAUCUGAAUUAUCCACAAACAAAAUAACAUAUCCAAAUUUAUAGUUAUAGUUUAGUAAUUAAAGUACUAUAAGUAGUAAUAUAACUAGUAUUUAUAUAUAUAGUUAUACUUAGAAUAUUUUUGGAAAUUCGUUAUUUUUUUGGGUUCGGUUCGGGUUCGGAUAUGGUUCUACGUAUAUAGAAAUUCAUGUACAGUCCAGACAUCUAUGUUAGAUCGGAUUCUCUUGUGUACUUUAAAUUUGGAAUCGGAUCCAAUUUUGAACUUCGGAUCCAGAAAAUUUGUUCAAGUCUAGUUGAAUGUAUGUGGGUUUUAGGUGUCUUCUUUCCCUAGGUGUUUUGGAUUUCAGAUUUUAUAUUUCCUUAGUAUCUGCUUUUUCUUAAAUAAAAAACUCGGAAACAUUUAUGCUAAAGCUUUUGUUAGUUGUGUUGAGAGACGUACACUUCUUAUUCACAUCUAUUUAUACACAAUAGAUCUUGUUGGUAACCAUAAUCAACUUCACACAUCAAAAUCUAUUGAUCUCUGAGUUAAUUUCCUCUCUCUCAAAGGAGAAAAACUUCUCAAAGUUCCAAUAAGUUUUCUAAAAUGUAUUAUGUAUAGCUCAGCUUUCUUCUAACACCUCUUGUACUACUAACUUCAUAAUUUGUACAAGAUCUACUUCAAAUGUUUUCAAAGUUACUAGAGUCCAUAACUUUGUAUCUGCUGAGUAAGCCAAUGCUAUUCUCCCUUCUUAAGAGAACUCCAGCGCCUAGUUUCUCACUUAAUAUCUCAUAAUUUAAUAAAAAAGGCAAAAAAGAAUGAGAGAAACAUACUCACGGAUUCUCAAAUCAUCGGUCAUAACAUACUCUUGGAACCUCUUUUGAAAACAUGUCACUUGGUAAGUGAAUUUGCUUUUUUUUUUUAAAUAACAAACUAAUAGAACAUAUUAUAAUAAGAAUAUUUUAUGUUUGAGAAAUUCGAUUUGAGAAUCUCACGGCUGAGGUUUCACUAACUCAGUGGAGAAUUCUUGGUCGUCCUAGUAAUUGUACUAUCCAUACGACACCGGAAUGUAAACAUUUCAAAUCGACAAUGGAAUAUCUGUAAUUAAUGCUUCUUUUCACUUGAUCCAGUGUUGUUACGAGCUUCAUUUAGUAUAUGGACUCCAAUGAUGCAUUUCCAACUAGUUAGUCAACCUAUACGUACAUAGGACUCCCUUUGGUUAUUCUCCAUGAAUCAGUUUAGCUCCUAAUGUUAAAACGUGAAGCCCAUAAUCGUGUUUGAUGGUAACUUUAUUACAACAAAAGGUUAUAUAGAUACAGAUGGAGGUUUAUCUCGGUCUCUUUGUUAUCAUCAUUACCAAGGAUUCCUUCUUAAUUCAGGCUUCACUGCUUUAACUUGAUCUCCUAAACCAUUGAGUGUGAGAGUAUUCACUAUUUGUUACUUCUAAAAUAUGAGAAGCAUCUAAAUUAAGUAGCGCACUUGAAAAAUAUGAAGGAAAAAGAAUAAUUAUACUAAAGGCAUGAGACAUUGUGCUUAGUUGCCUAAGCAACAUGAGCUCCACAAGAACCUAAAAAAGAAAACACAAUGAAUUAUAUGCAAAAGAUAAAGAAACAUGGAAGGAGAUGAUAAGGAAUCAAAUCAUAUCAUCAUGUGCAGCAAGCAACAAAAUGAUGAGAGUAGUGUUCUCGAUAGCUUUGGUUACCAUCUUGUCACCAAUAAUAAAACAUUCCUCUUUCUUAGCAAUUCUAAUCAUUCCUUUGGCCAUCGCCAAACCGGCCUUGGAAGUGAUGAAACCCACGAUGAACCUGCUUCAUGAACAUCAAAAUCCAAAAUAAAUAAUUUUGUAGGAAAAAACUAACGUUUCAGUCUUUAGGUGGCUUUGGACCAGUUUACGUAUCUUAAUUGGGAUGUAAAUCUUAAUAAUUUAUGUGCCUGAAUUUGACAUGGAUACUAGUUUUUAAAAAGGGUAAAUCAACCUAAUAACUACAAAAACAAGUAACAUAUGGAAUGUGAAGAGGUGUAGUGCACAAUAUUUGUCAUUUUUAAGGCAAAACAAAUCAAACCAGACAAUCUUAAUACCCAUGAAUCCCUUAUAUUUGAAAUCAAAUGAAGAUAUCCAAGUUGAAGUUGCAUCACAUCAGCUAAUCAAACAAUAAGAGAGACAUUAAACUCAUGAACAAACCCAAAAUUCAUGAGCAAUGUUCAAAACAUUUUCUUUUGAGUAACUUUUAAAGUUUACACUAUAGUCUUUUACUUUGUAUCUUAUUUUAAAAAUAAUCCUUUCACUAAUUUUCAAAAUUUAUAGAAGAAUACGAAAAAAAUUAACAAGGCCAAUUUGUACCCAUUAUAAACAAAUUAAUUGUUGGUGUUAGCAAAACUUAUUGAAGCAUUACGUUCCAAUGUAACUAAAAUAAUCAAUUUAUUCAAGCAUGUGAAAAUAACAUGUUCUUUGCGUGUAGAACAAUGAACAAUUAUUUAACGGGAAAGGGAUUCACUAUGUUGGGCUCAGUGAACGGGAAUCACAUCGAAGUCGAGUAUGAACAGAGAGGGUAGCUUCUUUCUGUUGUAUUUAUGUUCUGAAUUUUGUUGUGUAUAUUGGAUUUUAUAUUAUUCUUACAACAUCUCUUAAAUGAUUUAAUAUAAAAAAAUCCUUGAUUUCACAGUUCUCUUAGCGGAUCAAACUAAAUCUUGGUUUACGUCCUAGGUUAAGUCUAUAUUCAUUACCUCUAAUAACAAAGACAUUAAAUAAGAUAAAUGCUUAAAUGUUUGGUGGUGAAAGUUGUAAAGAAAAGUAAUAAUACUAGUGAUUAGGUCAAAAGAUAGUUAUGUGGCACUCUGCUUGAAUAAGAAUACGUUUUGCAUAAAGAUAUUUAAUCACACCAGCUUCAAUUUUAGAUGUUUUCCUUAUUAAUUUUUUUGAUUUCGGUAUGAUACUUUGAUUCACAAUUUGAUUUUUUUACUGAUAUAAUUUAACCAGUCAAAAAACCUGUAUUAAUAUGAAAUACUAGCUAUCAAAUUUAAACGUUAAAGUAAUCUGAUUCUUGUUUAGAGAAAUGUUUUUUUUUUGUUGUUGUUUGGUGUUACACUUUCCAUCCGAAGAGAUAUGAACUUCAUGUUCAUACUUCGGUGCUUUUGUAAUUUGUUUUGUCAUUUGAUAGAGUAAUUUUAAGUUAUAAAGUAUUACAAACCAAAUUUUUCUUGUGAAACACAAAUCUCUUUCAAUUAUGGUUUACAAAAAAAUUUUAAAGCACAAUUUCAUUUCUUGACUCUACAUACAAAAUACCUAAAUCAUUUGUAUCUUGUUUUUAGAAAAACUAUAAAUGAAUAAUAAAAUAUUAUUAAACAUGCAACCAAAAUCAUACAUCAAAAAAAUUAUUUAUAAAAACAUGUAAAAAUACAACUCAUUCCACUCACAACUCUAGAUUCUAUGAUGAGAUACAUCAAGCUAAUUUUACUUGUCUAAUCCAUCUUCUCGUGAUCUUCGUACUAACAUUUUAAGCCUUCGUAAUGUUCAAGGAUAUCAAGCCUUGACAACUGAAGCCCAUAGUUAGAGGCCCAUCCGUGGUAAAAACCAAACAUUAAAAUUGGUAUAGAAAUCGAAUCAGACAUAUAUAAUUUUUCUGUAAUCAGAAAUAUACAUCCAGUAACAUUAUACUUUCAUGAAAAAUGGAAAAAUACAAAAACAUCAAGAAAAAGAAGAAAACUCAACCACUAAAGCCAAUCCAUUACCUCUCUCCAUGGUACGAUAUAAACCAAACCAAAACCAGAAACCAACCAAACCGGAAAUCAAAGAUCAGCAAAACCAAACACUUUCCAGUUUCCACAGCUAACGUUAUUCACUGUACAAAUCUAACAAAGCUUUACUCAGCCUUCACAAAACCAUCACUCUUUUGAAGUCGAAUCCGUCUGAGACACCCCACUACCCUGACGAUCUGAGUAAGGUCUAACAAACGAUCUCCUCCACCAAACCUCAAAAGCUCUCUGCAGAUUCGGACAACCAUCUCCACCAUUCAAGAAGCUCCCAAGCCAAGACAUCAAAAUCCUCUGCUGAUCUUCCAGCGGCAACGUCAGUAUCGUCCUCCCUAUCCCUUCCUCCACAAGCUUCCCAUCGAACGAUCUGCAACCGUGCUGCAGCCAGUUAUAGUCCUUGAACAAAGGCUGCAGCCACGUGGUCAGCAGCAAAAGCCUAGUGUCUUUCGAAGGCAACAGCUCCCCUCUCCCUAUCCCUACGAAGAGCCUAGACGUCACACGGCUUAUAUGGUAACGAGACACCAAAGGAACCUUCUCGUGUAACAAAGCGAGCUCCUUUUGGUUAGCCCACGUGACUGAAAACUCCUCUGCUGCUUGUCUUUCCGCCAACACAUCAAGCAGCCACGUGAGGUUAUCAGCUUCCACACCUAUCUGUUUAGCAUCACUCUCGUCCUGUCUGAACAGAGACAAGACCAUGUCUAAACAUCUCUGGCAAGAGGAGUAGAUCGUCUCGUUGAAAUUCUCAGCUACAUUGUUCCCGUUCUGUUCCCUGAGAAGCUUCAGGACUAUAGACUUCAUCUCGCGACGGCUCUUCUCCUUGCUUCUUAACACAAGCUCGAUGAUGCGUGAGAGCGUCUCUUUAGGCGGAUCCACAGAAGAGGAAGCAACUCUUUUGAGGACAGGAGUAGUCACAACACUAACACCUUCUGUCUUCAACCUAAGUAUCGACGAGAUCACUUUCUCCUCUUCCUCUUCACCAACCCAAGGCACAGCUUCUAAAUAAUCCAAACAAGACUGAACACAAGAACCGAAGCCAAGAAGCUCCGCAACCUUAAGGACACGGAGGACUCUGGUCACGCUCUGUCUCAUAAGCCUUUGAUUCAUGUCUUUACAGUACAUAAGCCCAAAACUAAAUUACUAGAGAAUGUUAUAUUAUAUACCUAGAUAGUAUGACCAUUAUACACCAUUCAUAUAUCAAAUUAAAUUAUUAUAUAUUUUUUCCUUCAAUAAAACCUACGGAAUUACGAUUAAGAUAUAUAUUACAAUUAAUGAUUUUAAAUAAUAAAGCUCUGCUAACAAUUUGUAUACUUUCUAUUAUUUUUGUUUAAUUAUUUUUAUUAAAAUAAAUCACACAAUUACAUUAACCAUAUAAUAAAUUUUAGAUUUUUUUGUACAUGUUGUAUUUUGAAUUUUUCAAAACGAGUAUAAAUUACUAAAACUGUUAAAAGUUUCACAUAAACUUUUGUGAUCAAAGUUUAAAUUUUUUUCUAUAAUAAGAUACAAUGAUUAUAAAAUCAAAUGAAUAAAUAAAUUUAUUUUAAUAGGUGUUUAUGUUAAUAUAUAUAUAUAUAUAUAUAUAUAUAUAUAUAUAUAUUUAAUUUCGUUUAAAUGAAACUAUACAUCAUAUGAAAAUACAUACUUAUAUUUUGAUAUUUACUUUGAAUACAUCUUGAGAAGUUAAUAUUUUAAUUUUGAAAUCUUCAUUGUCUUUUUAAAAUGAUUAUAAAUUACUGAAACCACUAAACAUUCCACAUAAAAAAAUCGUUGGUGUAAAAUUUUGUUACAAAAAUGCAAAUAAUCAUAAAUCAUUUGAGUAGAAACCUCAUUUAAUAAAUAUCCAAACUAUAUAUCUAUGUUAGUAUCAUUUAAAUUUAAUUAUAUAUCAUACACGAUAGAUAAAAUUGAUUGGUUUAAUUUAUUUAUCGUAAAAUGAUUGCGAAUAAACAAGAGUGGUCGUUGAUUUAUAUGCGUAUGCCAAUUUAUUACAUAAUAGUAGUUAUUUAAUAUAUAAUUAUUAUUUUAUAAUUUCAUAAUAUGCAAAAAAUAUAAAAUAAGUAAUAAAUAUAAAAUAUUUAUUCUGCACAAGGCGCAAAUCUUAAACAUUUUCUAAAUCUCAGGCCAAAACAAAAUAACGAAAUAAGAAUAAACUCAAAAAUCAAUAUUUAUAUCGAGCAAUAACCAAAAUUAAAAAAACGAUGCAAAAAUGAAAAAAAUAUUAAAAAAUAGUUAAGUCUAAUGAAAGGGUCCAACAACUUUUCAUAGGUAGAUUUUUUAAAACUCCUUCUCUUUUAAUAGUAUAGAUUUUAAUUUUAGUGUUAUAUAUUGUCAAUAUAAACCUAUUAUUUUAGUAAAUUGUAUACAUGGUAGCAUCCAUCAUAUUACUUUAGUAAAUUUUAUUGAUGUAGAAUAUUUUUUGGAUGUUAUGAUAUUAAGUUUUUUUUUGUUAUUAAAUUAAGACUUCAAAAUAUUAGAUUACUUUAAUUUUUAUAACAUAGUUUGUUUUUCCGUGUAACAUUUCAAGAAAUUAUUCUUUAUUAUCUAUGAUUAUACCUUUUGAAAAAUUUAAAACAUUAUCAUUUUAAGUUUGCAUACGUAUUUUUUAAAUUUUAUAUUUUGUCAAAAAAUUUUGGAAAAUUACACAAGUACUAUAUUUGAGAUGGGAGAUUAUAUGAUUUUCGAAAUUGUUUUGUUACUAAAUUAAUACAUUAUUUUAUAUAAAUAAUUUUAAUUUCGGUAAGAUUUUUAAACAUCUCUCAGAUUAUGUUUAUAAUUAAUAUAAAUAUUAAAUUUAUAAUUAAAAUUUGAUUUGUCAUUAAUAUUUUGAAUGAAUAAUUAAAAUUUCAUAGAUUUCUAAUAACAUAUUUUUAAAUAGUAUAUGAACUAAAGGUUCGUUAUAAACUAUUAUAUUUUUGUAUAUUAUUAUUUUUUAAACAAUAUAUUGUUGAGAGUUUCAAAAUAAAAAAAAAUGAAAUAAUAUGUAGUUGUAGAUAUAAAAGUUUAACCUAUGUUAAUGAAUGUAUGUUUAUAAAUUUGUUUUUCAAAAAAAUAUAAUAAAAUUUACGAAUUUUAACACAUUUUGAUGAUGAGUAAUAAUUUAUUUAAAUGAAACUAUUUUAAAAAUAAAAUAGAUAAAUUUACCCAUAUUUAAUUCAUAUAGUACUUCAAUUUUAAUAUAAUACAUAAUAUAAUUAAAAUAUAUAUAAAAUAAUAUAGAAUUUUAUUUUCUUGUUUUAUAAUAAAUUUUUAAUUAACAUUGAAUUAUAAAGUUAUAUUAGUAUUUACGAAAUUAAUUAAAUGUUAUUUUAUAAAAAUAUUUAAAAGGUUGGUAAGAUUUUGUUAGAUUCUUUCUCAACAUAAUUUGUUAUACAUAAAAAUAAAUUUAUAUUUAUAUUUGUUUUAUUAUUAAUGUACAUAAUGAAAUAUGUCAUAUUAAGUAACUUUUUAGAUAGUCCUAGUAUGACUUGUUAACAGUAGAUAAAAAAUGGACAGAACUUAGGUUCACCACCUAGGGUGAACCUUUAAAUUCACCCCACCCUUUAAAACCAAUUAAAUUUCCACAUAGAUUAUUAAUUAAUAAAUAUUAAAUUAAAUAAUAAAUAGCUACAAAAAAUAAAAAUGUUAAUUUUAACGACACUAACACUUCUAGCGAAACUCUAAAUCAUAAAUUUUAAAUUCUAAACCCUAUACCCUAAAUUCUAAACCCAAAUCCAAACCCCUAAACCCAAAACCUAUAUCAUAAACCCUAAUCCUAGACCCUAAACCCUAACCCUAUAGCCUAAACACUAAUCCUAGACCCUAAACCAAAAAACCUAUACCCUAAACCCAAAUUAUAUACCUUAAGCCCAAAAAAUAGACUAUGAACCUAAACCCUAUACCAUAAACUCAAGUCUUAGAUCCUAAACCUAAACCGUAAAUCUUAACCCUAAUCCUAUAGCAUCUAAGUUUGAGGUUUGGGUUUAAGGUUUACCGUUUGAGUUUUAGGUCUAGGAUUUGGGUUUAGGGUAUAAGUUUUGGGUUAGGAUUUACGGUUUGGGUUUAGUAUUUACCGUUUGGAUUUAUAGUUAAAGUUUUGGGUUUAGGGUAUAUAAUUUGGGUUUAAGGUUUAUGGUUUGGGUUUAAGGUCUAGAACUUGGGUUUAAGGUAUAGAAUUUAGGUUUAUAGUCUAGUUUUUGGGUUUAGGGUAUAUAAUUUGGGUUUAGGGUCUAUGAUUAGGGUUUAUGGUAUAGGGUUUGGGUUUAGGGGUUUGGAUUUGAGUUUAUAAUUUAGGGUAUAGGGUUUAGAAUUUAAGAUUUAGGGUUUAGGUGGAAGCUUUAGCGUCGUUAAAAUUAGCGUUUUUAUUUUUUGUAACUAUUUUUUAUUUAAUUUAGUGUUUUUUUAAUUAAUAUAUUAUGUGGAAAUUUGAUUGGUUUUAAAAGGUGAGGUGAAUUUAAAGGUUCAUCCCCUAGGGUGAAUCUAAGUUCUGUCCAUAAAAAAUAGGACUCUGUUUUAAUAGAUUAGAUAUCAAGUUUGGUUUGGAUAUUUCGGAUAUCAGUUUGGAUAUAGAAAAAUGCGUACAAGUCAGAUAAUUUAAAAUUUUUUAUUUGGUUUGAUAUUUUUCGGGUUUGGUUCAGUUGUAUCCGAAAAUUACUUGGUUGAGUCCAAAUAUAUAGAAAAUAACUGAUUUAUCUGAAAUGCGG